CCGCCAAGUCUAACCCCGACCAAUAUUAAAUGGAACGACGUCGCUUUUCCAUUUUGUCGCAAACUCCCUGUUUUUGUGCCGACGAGAUCGGCGCGCCUGAUUCCUAACUCAGUUCGCACCGUUGCGUCGGAUUUUACUCCCGCUGGAGUUUCUCAGAAUCCAGAGCGAGAGAAAUCGGAUGGAUUAGAAGAGAAUAUAGAGAAGGUUAUCUACGGAUGCCGGUUCUUCGCAAUCCUCGCGGUUGGGGGAUCGCUUAUCGGAUCGUUUCUUUGUUUUAUCAAGGGUUGUGUUUAUGUUGUAUCGUCGUUUCAAGACUAUCUAUUGGACCGUGGGAGAGUGAUCUCAUCCUCGUUGAGGCUACUG